UCCUCCUAAGAAAUAUAUGACAACUUUUAAUUUGGGGGUCAUAACUGAUCACAAGAUCAAGUACAUGUCAUUCUUGACAAUUAAUAUUUUAGGAAAUCAUUUUUCACUCAAUUUUGUGAAAAGCCUCUUAUUAUUACAGACAUUAAACUCGUUGGUACCACUCCUUUAGGAGUAUACAUGAUCACAUUUUAUUUUGAGGUCACUUCUCUGGAUAUCAUAUAGGAAUGUAUAUCUCAUGCUGAAUAAAGAGUAAAUGUUUAUUUUUAUUUUAAAUGAGAAAAAAGGGCAACUGUUUGAAUCGUGCAAGAGACAUAAAUCUACAACAAGGAAUUGAUCAAAAAAGUUAUACCAUUCCCCUGGUCCCCUGCAUUUACUAUUAUGAUAUAAAACUGUUGUAUAAAGCAAUGCUUUCUUACACUAAAAUAAACAAUUUUCUUUAACAAUUGAAAUUUUAUGAUAUUUAUUAAAUGAAAAAAUCUUUCAGGAAAAGAAUCUUACCCUUAGCUUUUUAGUAUAGUUCAUCCAAGAUUAAUUUAUGAAAAGUCAGUGCAUUGACCAGUAAAUUCUCUAUAAGUUGAACAUCCAUUGACAUUUGAAAAUCAUGCAUGUGUCUCUACUUACUUCAUCACGCAGUUUUUUGACCAAAACUAAUUAUAUAACUUUAUCACAGUAUAACACAGUAUAACACACAGAUAUAUCAAUGUCUAAUUUCUCCAAUUUCGAAUUCCCCUUCAAACGACAGUUGCAUUUAAAUGAUAGCUGUUCACAUGUGCAACUGCGACCCUUCCAUACAUAUUUGAAUGGAAACAUGUGGUGCCACUAACUGAAGAAAUGUCAAUCAAAACACUGCACACUGAUAAUCUUGGGUGUGUUAUCAGUCUUGGACACAUCCAUCUCUCAACCCUACCAAAAUGUUCACGAUUUCAAAUCAGAAGAUGAUUAUCACAUCGAAAGAUUGUUGAAUAAAACAGGAUGUUGCAGUUCUUCACAGUUAAGGAUUUAUUAAGACAAAAUGAUAUGCCCUGGAUUUCAAUGUAAAAGAAAAAGAAUACCCUCAUGACACCACUUGCAGCAACAUUUCAGAGAAAUGAUUAAAGUGUCGUAAACAAAUCAAAAGAUGACACCCAAGAAACUUGUUGAGGCUGUUUUACUUUGACUGAUGAAAAAAUGCUAUGAACCUUUGGAGACCAAGGAAUUGGAAUCGUCUCUAUUAUGAGGGAAAGAUGUAACCGAGAAAGAAACAUGGUUGACCUUCAUCACAACUUUGGUUUAAUUUCGUGGUAGAAAGGAAAAAUACUGUGGGUAUUAACCUGUUAACCAAGACAUUGUAAUAUGUGAUCACAAUGCCAUUCAGUGAAAAAGCCCUUUGAGUUGAUACAUGAACACUGCACAUUGCACAUGCUUGUUCCGAAGUGGAAAAAUUUGUUUGUUCCUGUACCUAGUUUAUAUUAUGCUUAAAGAAAGCCUUAAUUCAAAAAGUACUUUAUAAAAUGACAAAAUGAUUUUUCAUAUAUAUUUUGUAGAGUGUGUACAGAUAAAAAAUGUUUCUAUGAAUAUGUACUGCAUUUCAUAUAAAAGAGAGAAAUGUUUCCCAAAUUCUUCAUGUACGAUAAAAACUAAUAUAAUAUCACAAAACACAUGAUAAUGUUAGAGAGGAACGUUCCUUUAAAGAUAUUUUUAAGUGGGCUUUGCAAUAUAUCAACAGAUAUUCAUUACAAGACAGAGGAACGUUCCUCAAAUGCACGGGUUGCAAGCUUCAUGAGGUAUAAGUAAUCAACAGAAAUACAACCAUUUGUGAGAGGAACGUUCCUCAAAUGCCUGAUUUAAUAUGAAUAAGGUUUCAACAUAUACAAAUCUGAGAGAGGAACGUUUCUCAUACAUGUAAGUAUCCUGUGUGAACAAUGUUAAAUUUUAGUGAGGAACGUUCCUGAAAUGCCUAAUGUUUGACAAUUCAUGAGACAACCAUUUGUGAGAGGAACGUUCCUCAAAUGCCUGAUAUUUGACAAUCCUUGAGAUGCCUACAGUAAUAAUUAAAUUCGAGCGAGGAACGUUCCUCAAAUGCCUGAUGUUUGACCAUUCAUGAGAUGUCUUCAGAAAAAGUGAA